AGCGAACGCUGGCGGCAGGCCUAACACAUGCAAGUCGAACGAACCUUUCGGGGUUAGUGGCGGACGGGUGAGUAACACGUGGGAACGUGCCUUUAGGCUCGGAAUAACUCAGGGAAAUGUGUGCUAAUAUCGAAUGUGCCCCUCGGGGGAAAGAUUAAUCGCCUUUAGAGCGGCCCGCGUCCGAUUAGCUAGUUGGGUGAGGUAAUGGCUCACCAAGGCGACGAUCAGUAGCUGGUCUGAGAGGAUGAUCAGCCACAUUGGGACUGAGACACGGCCCAAACUACUACGGGAGGCAGCAGUGGGUAAUCUUGCGCAAUGGGCGAAAGCCUGACGCAGCCAUGCCGCGUGAAUGAUGAAGGUCUUAGGAUUGUAAAAUUCUUUCACCGGGGGCGAUAAUGACGGUACCCGGAGAAGAAGCCCCGGCUAACUUCGUG
rnacentral:rRNA from 1 species